rnacentral:SRP_RNA from 2 species
GCUGGGCAUGGUGGUGCAUGCCUGUAGUCCCAGCUAUUUGGGAGGCUGAGGUGGGAGGAUCGCUUGAGCCCAGGAGUUUGAGGCUGCAGUGAGCUAUUAUCACACCACUGCACUCCAGCCUGGAUGACAGAGUGAGAUCCUGUCUCCA